UGGCAGAGCCUUUGUUCAAAGCUGGGCAGUACCUGCCAGAGGCUGUGUGCAGAAGCACCUGUAUAUUUCUUCUCACGCCCUUAGGAGUCCUGGGCAUUCAUUAAUUCACCCAGUAAGAAUGCACAGCGUCCUGUUGGGGUGCAGGCCCGAUGCUCAAUGCUAUAAUGAGAGCCAGCUGUUUGUUUCUGCUCAGGCAUUUCCUACCAUUUUCCUGACAGCCCCCCCGCACCCUGCCGCUCACUUGGGAGCAGACACACCAUUCCCAAGAUGGUGACUCUGUUUUGAUGCACUGGCCUUGGGAGGUCAGGAAAGCUAUGACAAAGUGGGUGCAAAGGCUUUUCUGGAACAGAGACAAAGUACAAAAGCCAUGAUGCUGUGAUCAAAGAUGGAGUCACCGGCUGAGCAAAGAGCCUGGCAGGAGAAAAACAGGCUUUACUUCGAGCUUCUCUGUCACAUACGCCUUUCCCCUACCCACCUCACUGGCCCAACACUGAGAAGAAGAAAGAAGAAUUGAUCAAGGCUCCCCGGCCCUUGGGGAGGCAUCACACACAGCAUCAGUCAUGCAGUCGUGGGUGUUAAGUUGAAAAAAAAAUGAAUACUCUCCACCCCAAACUAAAUGGAAUGAAAGAAGGAAAUACUUGCGUAUGAAUAGCAGGCUGCCCUCUCAAGAUAGCUCCACCAUCUGGAGGCGAGCCCAGGAGGCAGGAGAGGGAACUGUUCCUGAGUUUCUUAAUCACAGCUCUCAGGGGGCAUCCGCUGCAGCCAGCUGCCCACGACCUCAGCACACAGCUCUUGGCACAACUGCUGGCAGCCCAGCUGUGUUCUGCAUGACCGAAUCGGACACCUCUCACUUCCUCUGAGAACGGAACUUGGUGUUUGGAUGACGUGCGGGCAAGUCGUUUGUGCAAAAUAGCACAUCUCUAUCGUCGGUCUCCCACCCCAACCCCAGGCCUAAAGAAAGACAAGAAACAGAAAAAAAGCAACACCUGAGAGGAAUCCGGCUUCCAACGAGUACAGACAUUCUUAGCCCUGAGCGUUGCCUGCAGGACUGGAGAGUGACUGUGAUCACUCCUGAUUGCUGCUCAAAUCUCAGGUCAAUGUCUUCCAGGCUGUGUGACCCAGGCCAGAAGGUCACUGAAAUAACACUGGGCUUAACUGACCCAGAAAGGAGCACUUCAUCCUAGCCUUCAUCUUCUUCAUCUUCUCGGGACAACACGAGGCAUACCAACUUGGGUGGCACAGGUGGCGUCCAGCACCCAGCAGGUGCCUCCUCCAGGGCAACAAGAAGAGCUGGCCCUGUUGGAGGGUGAGAUGAUAAAGCACCUGCCCCCUUGACAGUCCUUCCUGCGCACCCCUUCUCCCACCCUGUGUGCAGGGAGGACACCACAGUCUAGGCUUUGAGACAUUCGAGGGGUGGCCCCACCCUCUAAGUUGGAGGGAAGCCUGGUCUCCAUGUGGUUUGCAGGCGUCGCAGUGCCCCAACACACCUGGGACAGAUGUGUGAUCUCUGAACCUGCCCAUUUCCUUCCUGCUUGUAGGCUCAGUGGCUGGACUGUGGCCCACACUGAUGAACGAAUCCUCCAGGAGUGAGACUCCUUUGGAGUUAUUGGCUGGUGAAAAUAAGCAAAGGACUGCAAAGAUCCACGGGUCAUGUGAGGCAGUCUGGUCUGCGGCAGCUGACAGCAGAGACUCCAGGAGGCCGAGGAAGGCACCCGCUCUCCUCCCACGGGUCUGGUGGGUCUGAUUUGCCUGAAGCCAGUGGAAGAUAAACAGGCAGCGGGUAUGGUGUGUGAAGCCAGAGGCCCACAGCCUGAGAACUGGGGCAUCACUGAUGCUCUCUGGGUCUCCCCUUCCUGUCUGGGGAGGACUUUAAUACCCACCUCAGAGUGAUGUUUGGAUGACUUAGCACAGUGCCUGGCACGCAGUGGGUGCUCAAGGCAUUUUCAUGCCCCCCACCCUCCCCUUUCCCCUCCCUUACCCUUCCUCUGUUUGCACUGCCUCCAGGAUGAGGCUGUCACCUCAGGGACUCUUCAGCACUUGAGGCCUCGCUCUCCCUCCCCACCUUCCUGAGCAGUCACAGAGUGAUGCAGAUGCUCCUGCCCUUGCAUCUGGUUUCCCUGCUUCUUCCCCAAGCACGCUGCUGUGCCAGCUCUCUUGUCUCUGGUCUGGAUUCCAGCAGCCACUGCUCGCCUGCCCUAGGGUGGUCCUGUGCUCUCAGGCAAGAUGCUCUUCUACCAGCUCAUGGUCUUUGUCUCCUUUGGGUACAUGUCUGCCCUCCUCCCUCCUACUUGGAUCUCACCUGGGGUCCUUCUCAGCUCAGGACUACAGACCUUUCAAGGGAUCAGGUCCAUGUGACAGCAGCCACCAAGAGUCCCCAGCUGAAGGAUCCAGCCUCUGCCCACCUGCCCAUCAAACAUGGAGGCUCCAGGAAUUGUCAUCACAGGAAAGGCCAAGAGUCAGAAAGAUCAGCUGAGCCACCCCCCACCCCAGGCAGCUUCCUUAUAAGGAAGAAGAAGAGGAGCAGGAGGACGAAGUCAUGGCUUCUAGAGGCUCAUCCCUAAGAUGUCCUAGUGGAAGAAGCCAGAGUUCUGUCUCCAGGGGCUUUGUGCAAGACCUGGGGUGGGGUGGGGUCACUACCAGCCCCUAUCUUUGGCCCCUCCCUCUCACCCUAACCCUCUCUGCCUCAAGGUGGCUAGGAGCACAGUCUGUAAGUCUCGUGACACUCCAUAUUAUCAUUAGGUUGAGUUUGCAACAUAAGCCUCAGUUUUGCUGUUCUGGAAUGCCUUCUGAAUAUGCCUGAGUAAUGUCUUCCUCUGGUUUUGAUGUUUAUUCCAAGGAGGAAUGUCACUGGAAUGCAUCUUCUACUGACACCCAGGCUACUGGUCCUCAACCUUGAGGCUGACCAAGCUGGCUUACCCAUUGGAUAAUGUGGUUUGCCAGGUAUGGGCCAGGUUGAGCAUGUCUCCAAGACAAGCAGCACAGUUAGGGACACAGUCUGUGGCCAUAAUGAUUACAAUAGAAAUGAACAAGUAGCUAGUUUCUUAAAGCAUGUCCCAUAUACUCAGCUCUGAGCCAAUGGAAACCCAUGCAGGAUCUGAUCUCAUCAUCUUAGGCAAACUGAUUAGUUACCAAUAUCCCCAUUUUACGG
ensembl:lncRNA